CACAGCGCUCCCGCUGAUCCCCCACACCGCUCCCGCCUUCCCGCCUGUUCCGGCCCUGAGCCGCGGCGGUGCCCGGGCCCUCUGUGCCCUCAGUGCCCCAAGUGUCCCCAGUGCCACCAGUGCCAUCGUUGUCCCGUGUCUGGGAGCAGGAGCGGAGCAGCCCCUGCGUGUGCCGAGAGAUCACUGCAUAUUGUGAAACCUUCCUGACACACGAAGGCUUUGGAAGCUGAGUGCCCUGAGGGCUGCUGGCUCAGAGCAGGGCUCACCAAGGGGCCCUCUCUGAAAUCCCUUCUUCACUCAGGGAGAGAAACAUUUGUCCAUCUGAUGGUACACCUGAAACAAAGUUACACGAUCUGUUGAUAUUUAUUAGUGCAGGUACGUGAUUUAAGGUUGAAGAGCAUUUUCCAGCUACCUGUCUUGUGCAUUACUGAAAUGUAAAAGGUCACACAACUGCCUGCUCCCCUCCUCACCAAGCCCUAAACAAUCUGCUCAGGUUGACAGAGUGUCGAAACAGCUUUCCAGUGACUGUCACACGCUUCAGCUUGCCCGAAGGUGUCCUGACUUGUUAGGAGAGAGAAGCAGGAGGAAUGGAAGAAGAACAAGCCCAGGGAUCUGAAGCCUCAGCCAUGACUGCUGAACUCAACACAAAGCCACUGACUGAAGGGAAAAGAGACUCAGACAAAGAAUCUAUGUUAAAAGUGAUCAAAAAUUCUGAUGGACAGUUUAACCUUGAGGCUGCAAUUAAAAAUGUUGAUACAAUGGCCAAUGAACUUAAGAAAAUAAAUGUGGAAAGCCAGCUACUGCUUUGUGACCUGAUUUUGAAUUUCAACCAUCCUGUGAAGGCCAAAGAUUUAAGAGAAGCUGAAGAAAAGACUUGGAGUUUGACAGAUUAAGUAACAUCCAUUUUUAUGUAUUGUCUUCUAUUAAUGCUGAUGAAACUGCUGCUUUUUCUUCUUUCUUCUUCAUCUUCCUUCUUUUAAUUAAGUUUGGACUGUUCAAUGAUAGCAUGGUUUCCUGCAGUUAAACUAUUUUUAUUUUAAGCUUAACAUGUGAAAUGGAAAAAAAGAGUAGGUUAUUGGUUCUGAGAGGGGUUUUUCAACCCACAUUUCCCAAAUUAAGCCCACUAGGACUGGAAAGACUGAUGUAAUUAAUUAAAAAGGUUAAGACACUGGGCAUGAAGUUUUUUCAGGUGAUUUUCUCCUUUUAAACAGAGACAUGUUGGAACAGUAACAAAAGAUUUGAAAUUUGCUUCAAGUCACUGCUCUCUUAUCUCAGUUGUGCUCAGAGAAACAGAAAGAAAGAAAUAAACUAUCAGUGAAGGAGGAACUGCAACUUGUGUUUUGAGCUGCCUUCCUCAUCUUAAAAAUAUUGCUGAGGAAGGGGUCAAGGAGCAGAUUAUUUCUGGAAAACUAAAAGUACUUUCCAUUCUAGUUUCUGUAAUGACUCUCUAAUGCAACUAGCUACAAAAAUAGGGUAGACUUUGUGGUUUCAAUGCUCUGUCCUGCAAUCUUCUUGGCCCAACAUUUGCACAGCCACUGCUUUCAUGUAGUUCAUUGCAAUUAAUAUUCAAUCACACUUUACUUAUGAACAUGUUUGAAUGUUGAGAUGUAUUUUUAUUCUUACACCAAAUAUCUUUCUCUGAAUAAUCAAAUAGAGAUUUAUUCUACUUUAAAAAAUAUGCAGUGUUAGAAUUUAUUAUGCUGGUUUAUAUUUUCUUUCUCCUUCACUGGUGAGAUGGUUUAAAAUUAAUAAAACAAAGUCCAUAGGA